UCUGCUAUAUAUAUGUGUGUGCGUGUGUGUGUAUAUUGUGUGAUAUACGCUUCUGGGCAACUCAAACUUGAGAGAGAGAGAGAGCCGCUAUAUAUUGAUUUGGCUGAUAAUUAAUGGCGUCGAUGAAGGCUGAAAAAGCUGCCGGCGGCGAGGGCAUGGGGCAGGCCAAGCCGACCAAGGCCAGUGGUGAAGCUGCUCCCAAGACUACUAGUUCUGCCUCUAAGACUAAGCCAGCCCCAAAGAAGGCUGCUGCCCCAAAGACUUCUGUCCCUAACCCUAAGAGGAAGGCAAAGAGCGGCAAAUCGGCGGCGAGGAACUGAGUGGAUGCGGAAGGACUUCCGGCCAGUCUCCAUUUUCUUCGCUUUUGGUGUUGUAUUUAGGCAGUACGUACCUUGUUUCCUCAUGGUUGUGAGAAAUAAAAUAUAAUUAUCAAACAAGAGUUUUACUAUA